AGUAUUCCAGAUAGAGUGUGUUCUAGGGAGUCCAUCAUAAGCUUUGAUCUGUCUGCAUCCACAGCUGGAAACUUUGCACCAGGCUCUGGAAGCAGCACGAACUGACAACAGUCGCCUCCAUCAGGAAAGUGAGUUAGUGGUUGCAAAUGUUAAUCAGUGGAUCAAAGAGCAAAAUGAACUACUGGAGUUGAUGGGAGAGCGAUUGGCCUGGUGGAUCGAUCGCUGCGUGUCAAUCCCCCGGAGCAGCAGCAGCACAUCCUCGGCCAUACUUGGAGGAGCUGUUUGAUACCCGAUGAGGAAUAGCCCACCGUGGAGCCUGCAGCAGACAGCACAGAAGCCACCCUGGAGCCUGAUACCUCAGCCUCUACUGACUGCAGUAUCUCCACAGCACACUGCAAUACAAACCUAGACCAACAUCCCUUCAUGGACCAUUCCAAGAUGAAGCGUUUGCAUGAUGAACUUAUGGUUGAAGGUCUGGACAGGGCCAACAAGUAGUCCCGUAUCAAAAACAGAAGGACUUAUGGCUAGAGAAAAGGCAUGGCAAGAGAUAAGGCUGAGACUGGCUGCACAGCCUGAGGACAGGGUUCAGUGUGGGAGCAGGCACUUGCUCCACAGUUCCUAGAACAGGAAAGGCGGCUAAGGAAGGAGGACAGAGCUCAGCAGAAAGAACCGUUUGAGUGGCUGAUAUCAAUAAUGGAUUACCCACUCCUGCUGCAUCACCCAAAACACGGCCUGAGUCCCCUGCAUGGUACUCUGGGAUUCAGUCCAGAAACAGCUUGGAAAACUCCAUGGCUGGGUAGCUCAUUCAAUCAUUCCCCCCGACUGGCUGGGCAGGGCAACUUUGCCCCAUGCUGUCCUCCAUAUUUACCUCCUACUCCAUGGAUGCUUCUACCCCUCUCCCAUCAUGUCAAGUGCACAGCAAAUGGAGA